UGUUUGAGUUUUGACAGCGUUGUCUCUGGUUGUUCUGUGACUGCAGCUGAGAAACACAAACAUCCUUUUGAGUGAGGAACCAAAAACAACUAUCCUUAACCCUAACCCUAUCCUUAAACUUGACAAGAUGUGUCUUGACAAGAUGUGUUCUGCCAAUAUCUACUUUGUAGGCACUGUAUUUUAUAUUAGUGGUUCUUCUCACAGCUUUUGUCUCCUACUGACAAAGUAAUCCUACGUUGAAGCAGUGCUGUACUACCAUUUGACUGACAUUUUAAAGUAAUUCUGUAACUGAAAAUGGUAAUACUACUUUAAAACUCUAUUUCACACGUUUUUUUUCCAAUCCUGAAACAAGUCUGAAUCACUGGUGAACUGAUCAACACUGUCAGUUUAUGGAUAUCAUAGGAAUACAGUACAGAGGAGAAUAGCAAAGGUCGAAUCUGUGGAGUUUAUGAGUGAAGCCAACCUGAAGUCUGUUGUGUCCUUCAAGUAAAAACAUGAAGAUAUAAAAACUCAUUGUUUUGCACAUCUGAAAACACAUUAUUACAUUUUCCCUCACUCAGACACUCAUUGGCACAUCUGAGAACACUAUUUCCUGCUUUACAAGUAUGUUCAUUUGUGCUCUUCCUGUUUUAAACACAUUUUAAACCACUAAGGAUUUAUUAUUAUCUUGGCUUUUCUUGACACUUUUCUCUGCAAAUUAUCUCCAGAAAUUAAAUCACAAAGAUCUCAAAUGCGCUGAACAUAUUAUGUUGUAUGUUCAAAUAUUAUAUUGUAAAUACAAUAAUUGCAUAUAUUGCACAAUGUAUUAUAAAAUGUGUAUAUUUUAAAUAAAUUGGACAAUAUAUGCAUGCACUUACAUAAUGAACAUUAUAUAUAUAUAUUCCCCUGUUUCCCCCCACUUCACUGGUUACACAUAUGAACCCCCACCUGGGAGACGAGCAGGACUUCACAGCCCACUGACACAGUUACACAGCCCACUGACACAGUUACACAGCCCACUGACACAGUUACACCUUUUCAUAUCCUUGAUGGACAUCAUUGAUAGUGAUCCGGAUAGGUGAGCCAAUGUUUGUCUAAACGUUGGCUCAUGACAAUGGUUGUGUUCACUGUGGUGUGGUCACUUUAAAUAUGUAGAUGGUUAGAGUGUGCAGUCAUUUAUGUCCUGAUUUUGGAUCUGUCAGGUUAAAUGAACAUUUAAUCUAGAUUGUUAUUUCUGGUUGGAUUGUGAUCCAGAGCCCUACUCCAGGCCUACUCUAACCCUAAACUUCACAUUAAUACUGGUGCUGAUGACUUCUUCUGGCUUGUGAGGUCAAUGGGAAAUGUACUUUUCUGUAGGAUUCACAAUAAAACAACUUCUGUUUCAUGCAGGAAAAUAACAUUUUGUGGACUCGUUUGUUGAGGCAGUGGAAAGCCUUGGUUUGUCUCAGAUUGUUUCUAAUGUAAACUUUUGGAGGCUUUUCCUGUUGUUGGUGUUACUAUUUUGAUCUGAAGAAAUCUCAGGAGACUAGUUAAAAGGCAGAACUUUUACAAAAUAAUGUCAAAUUACUUCUAACAUUCAAGCAUGUUCAUUCACGUUCAGAGCUGAAAGGAUUUUAUCUCUAAAUUAACCUAAUUUGAGUCCCUUUGGCUAGAAGACCAACAUCUAGCAUUGGCUGUCCUCUUUGGACAGAUUUAUAGACAGUGUCCUGGUUUAGAACUGGCUGCAUCUGUGACUGGUACUUAAUCAGAAUAUAGAGGGAUUUUCAUAGAUAAAGUAGUAGCAUUAGCACUCAAAAGCCCCUCACAGUCCAUGAAAUGUUCACCUUUACUUACCACUUGAAUGUUGGCUUCAAGUUGGGAUAAAAGAAGGGCAUGUUGUUUGUAGUGAAUCUAAGGGAUGUUUCCAGUCCUGAAGCUUUGCUUUCCCGCUAGUUAUUUCUGCAGUCAGCGAUGGUAUGUGAAGCUGUACAUGAUGGUGAGCGAGCCUGAAGAGUCUCAGGUCAGACAGAUCCCACAUAUACUGGAUGAAACAUAGAUGAAACGUGGAUGAAACAUGGCUGUGUAGCGAGGUUCAUGGUGCAUGGUUGUUUUGUGCUGCUGUAAUAAGGAGCUCAUGCAGUUGAACUGUAUGCUGCUCCUUACAUGAGCAAGGGAAGGUGACGUGGAAAGAGAAGUUAUUUAGGAAUCUUUCAGAUAUAUAUAUUUUGAUAUUUAAAGAUAUUAUAUGAAUUACACAAAGAUAUUGCCAAUAUAGAGACUGUGCUAUGAGGUGUAAGUACAAUAUAUAAUCAGAAAUUACUUCUAAUAUUGAAUACACAUGUUUUUGUGGCUUUACAUAAAAGUAUGGCCAUAGAGUGUUAUACUCAUAAUAUGAUAAAAGUGCAAAUAUAUUCUGCCCACACCAAGAUACAAUCAAAGCACAUACUUGUUUCACUGUUUCUGAUGGUUAAAUGACACUGCACAGUGAAGUGGUCUGGGUUCAAACAUUUCCAUUGUGAUCUGGUCAGAAUCACCUGGCUUGAAUAGUUAAUGUUCAGAUGCCUGUGUUGUCUGUUCUCUGAGGUAAAAAAAAAAGAAAACAAAUGUUUAUUACAUUAUAUUUUUGCAUUUAAGAUUAAGCUCGGCAAAAAUGAAAUGAUGCUGUAGAAUUAAGCCAAGAAACAUUAAAAGAAUGUACUAUGUGCAGUUGGAUUGGUUUAGAAAUUGUAUUUAGAUAUAUAUUUUAGUAAUGUCAUAAAUAUAUGAUGAACGAUGUGAAAUACCUACAGUAGCUGUGUAUGCUGACACAUUUCUCAUGUUAAUGACAUAGAUGACCCCUGUCAGGACAAACACUUAGUAGAAAAACAGACUAUACCUGUGGUGCUCUUUUAAACUGUAUAGUAGGAUUUACAAAAUAUGUAAUGCUGUGUGACAGUUUAGCAAUAGUAUCUGUUGUGGGUUUUCCAAAUCCAAAGUUCAGUAACUGGUUGUAUCUGACAUCGUAGUGUUUCGUGUUGAGGGACCUGUUGUGUUGUUGGUUUCUCUUUCAGUCUGAUACGAUAUGACUGGUGCUGUGUGUCAUCCUAUGUCUGAGGUCAGAGGUGAGAGGUGAGAGGUAAGAGGUAUACCCUGCCUCUACAAUAAACAGGCAAGGGCAUCGCUUGGUCUUUAGAAUUUUCAUACUGUAAAAAAGAAUACCUCUGGUGCUAAAUACAGUUUUGGAAGGUCAACAUUUAAGUAACUAGUUUUUCUCUAACCUCCUAAGCAGUAGUAACAACACACUACUCUCAAACCGCCGACUAAUGCCCUCAAUGGAAGUCUAUAUUUAGAGCGUUUCAUUUAAUUAAACAAAUGUCCCCUCCCCAAAUAUAUGACCACCAGAAGGACAACAACACGCCACACACAUCCCGCCCAGGGAGGAAUCCUACGAUAUAGCAUGAUACUGUUCACAUACCCUAUAUGGCCAAGCUGGUGAUCAGUUGCAUAUACAUUUAAUUUGGAGGACAACAGCACAUGCACAUGAAAACAGUAACACCAUGUAAAUAAUAUUUUCAAGAAGCAUACCUUAUUAUCUAUAUAUUUUGUAUUUGAUAAUUUAAUGCACACAAAGUUUCUUGGAGAAUGAGUGGAAACUGAGUUGUAUAUGGUCCCCUUCAGUCGCUUAUAGGAAUGGACCAGAACAUCCCUACUGUGGGACACAUUUUGAAAUUGUUAAAAAUGAAAUAUUAUGAAGAGAAUGAUAUGUUGAACAUUAACAUAAUGUUAAACUAUAAACCAAAGUGGAUUGUUGUAUCUACACUCGGGUAGAAAGAGUGUAUUAGUUUUUUGUUUCUUUUUAAGAAAGAAGGGGCAGGAUCAUACAGGAAGGUGAUUAAUACUCAGUUGGGGGAUGUUUUUGAAAGUUCUGUUGAAAACAGAUACUUGGUUAAAAAAUAAAAAUCUGAAAAUAAAAAGAAAAUACAUGUUGUAGACACGCUAUAGUGUUACAGUCUAAAAUCUAAUUGGUGUGUUGCAUUGAGAUGAUGCAGGACCUGUCUCAGUUUGGGACCUUUUCUGAACUCCAUCAGUUGACUCAAUGUAUUUGCAUUUACUGAUCUAAUGAGGUGGAUUCAUUGCAAACAGUCAUUAAAAGACAAGACUGUGAAAGAUCUGGUGUGCUCUGUCCAUUGUGCUGGUUACAAACGUUAUCACGCUCCACCCAAGAGCCCCAACCCUGCAUCCUGGAUCUUAGAACAAAGUUGUUUUGAAAGAAUAAUGCUCACUUGUAAUCUGUACAGCAGCAAAGUGCAAAACCUGUGUAAUAUUUAGUCCUCUAUUGAACAGACUGUGCAAGCAGUCAUGUUUUACAGCACAUGUGUGUAACAGAUAUGUUACAUGCACAUGUGUAUGUAACAGCACAUGUGUAGGUAACAGAUAUUGGAUGCAGUUUGGAAACUGAUGUGAGGGAGACCCACAGUAUUUAUUUUCAAGUAUGUGUGUUUCCAAUUUAGCCACAUCGUUUAUGAUCUCUCUCCAGCUUUGAAUGGCUCACCCGUUUCAUCAUUACAAUUCCAUGAGAUGAUUCUAGAGGCUGCACUCCCAUGCUCCUCCAUGAGACCCACACUGCCCGUACUGGAUAACUUGGAUACAUUCUGACAUUCUGGUGCUAUUUCCCCUUCAUUUGGAAUGCUGAGAGGAUCUCUAACCCUCCUCAUGCUUUUUACCAACUAUCCCAGUUUUAUUGUAGAAGGCUCAACAGUUGAGUAAUUUGUUGUGUAGAUUUGUAAUAGAGAGAAGUUUACAGACUUAAAACUUUAGAAAUUGAAAGAGAUGUUGAGCCUGUUGUGAGGAUAGAUCAGCAGAAAAUGUCAGAGCAAACCUGACAAAAUCAUGAAGCUUCAUUGCAGUUAGAUUUUGUGAUGCCUGGUGUAUCUAAUGGAUCAGGGUGUUAAGAUAGUCAGAGUUAGUACAUACCCAUCCAGUAGGUCAGACAGGCAGUUUCGAUGUGGCAUAGAUUGGAAACACUUUUCAAUAUGUCUUUGUGUUUUUCUUGGCAUCAAGAUAAGAUUUUUCAAAUAAUGCUGGACAAAAAGCUACUGUAACAUUUCUCAGUCAUAUACACAUUUACGACACAUCAAAGUAUUUGGUGGUAAAGAUUCACUCUGUUUCUACAGGUUGAUUUCUGCUUGACCAGUCUGUUUACAAGCACCCAGAACUGCAGUCAAGUUAACCCCUUUAGUGGCCUCUUUGUAAGAAAAGAUUUCAGCUCAUUUUCAUCCAUCAACCUUCACACAACAACAUCAUGCCUCAUUAAAUGCAAUAAGAGGUAGAAGGGACUAUUCAGAUAUUCAGUCCCUAGUUUGGGUCUUCCAUAGCAACUUUUUAAGUCUUGUUCAUUUUCAAUGAAUGUUUCUGAAAAGUAUAAGUUUGUUCAAAUGUGUGUUCACUCUGUAGACUAGGCCUACCUCAGAUGUGUGUUCACUUGUAGACUAGGCCUACCUCAGAUUUGUGUUCACUUGUAGACUAGGCCUACCUCAGAUGUGUGUUCACUCUGUAGACUAGGCCUACCUCAGAUGUGUGUUCACUUGUAGACUAGGCCUACCUCAGAUGUGUGUUCACUCUGUAGACUAGGCCUACCUCAGAUGUGUGUUCACUCUGUAGACUAGGCCUACCUCAGAACCUCACACCUAUUUGAUGUAUUGCUGGCACUCACUUUUUACUCAAGCAGAAAUCCUGUUUUCCAAGAAACUGAUCAUGACCAUUUGUAUCUGAUGUUUGGUAUGAUUUUUUAUAUUUAGGACGUUCAUAUUUGAUAUGUCUUUGUCAGUAAUCUUUGUUUUCUAAGAUACAUAUUUGUGUGAUUUUUGCAUUUGCACCUCUCAUUUCCAAAAUAUUUUUGUUAUACCAUUCUUUUGUAUUCAUUUUCUAAGUGAAUUUGUAACUAGAAACACAUUGUUUUGCAUAACGUUAUAAAGAGGCAGCCGAAGGGUUAAUCAUUCACCAUCUUCAGGUGUUGUUGUGAUAUGAAAAUAUUUACCAGAUACAUUUUUCGUGAAGAAAACAGAAUCAUAUGGUGCUGUACCAAAGCCUUAUGUGUCAUACAUCGGUUUUAUGAUUUUCUUUUCACAGGGCAAACAAAUGUUCUUCUCCCAUGAAUUUGUGAUGCUUUGAAGCAGGAAUAAUAUACAAACCACAACAAACCAGAGCAUUUCAUACUGGUUUGUUGUCUGACCUGGUGUUAAUCUUGUCCUAUUUCUAUUUAACAAAUGUAUAAAUUCAGAACCAUAUGUAAUAACUUAUUCAGACUGGUUGGCAUGGUAACUUUGUUCUUUAAACUGAAACACCUCAGCAUGAACAGUGUGGACAUUCCUCUUAUGAACGUACCGGAGGUGCUGUUGGUGUUGGGGUACCCAGGCGAGCGCGGGAGGGCCUGAGGUGAUCACAGGGCUGAGAUACCAAGGUGUCAAAUGCAGUGUUUAUUGGAUAAGAGUACCACCUAACCAGUCUUUCCAACCCACAAGCAUUAUCACGUCAUACCUGCUGACUGGAACCUGAGUUAUCUGAUGCUAGGCUCAUGCAACCUUUAUUCUGCUUCAAAUAUGUUUUGUAUUUUGAAAUAAUAAAACUUAACAAAAGCA